rnacentral:rRNA from 1 species
UACGUAGGGUGCGAGCGUUAAUCGGAAUUACUGGGCGUAAAGCGUGCGCAGGCGGUUGUGCAAGACAGAUGUGAAAUCCCCGGGCUUAACCUGGGAAUUGCAUUUGUGACUGCACGGCUAGAGUGUGUCAGAGGGGGGUAGAAUUCCACGUGUAGCAGUGAAUGCGUAGAUAUGUGGAGGAAUACCGAUGGCGAAGGCAGCCCCCUGGGAUAACACUGACGCUCAUGCACGAAAGCGUGGGGAGCAAACAGG